GAUGGUCUACAAAUUUGAAAAAUAAGUAAGUAAAUAAAGUAAGUAAGUAAGUAAAUCCGAUGAUAUCACCAUCUUGAAGAAUUUCCUAGAAAUUGAUUAUCCCAAGCCAUUAUACAGUAUUGAAUCCCCAAACCAUUAUGCAAUACUUCCAGAAUGAAUUGGGUUAAACUGUAUAGCAUUCAUUAUUAGAGUGAAUGAAAAUAACAUUGCUAUGAAGAGUCAUCCUACAGUCUGUGAUCUGCCUCCAGACACCACUUCACUAAAAAGUGGGGGGACCCCAUAUUCCUUGAUUAUCACUCCCAUUUUUUGUUUUGCAGUAUUAUUCCAGUAGCGGGUGAUUUGGAUCCCCUUCGCAACUAAAUAACAACUGUGCAUUUACUGCCCAAGAAAAGAGGAUUGUUUUGAAAGGCCUUUAUUUAUUGCCAACUGUGUACUUGAUGUUCAUCCAGCAAAAUAUUCAAUUAAAACUUUUAAAAGAAGUUACUCACACAAAAAAUGUCAGCCAAAUGUUGUAUGCAUGUGGAGGUGGGUAGGGAAUUUUCUUUCUCAUGAUCAGUCUCAUCACAGGUUCUAUCCAAUGGGUGCGUGUGGUAUGCAUGCAACCACAAUCCAGGUGGCCAUUCACAUUUGAAAAGAACUGGAAUUUUCUCUGGACUGUUGUGUCUACCUGAGCCUUCUCCACUGGACUCUUCUGGGAGCUCCUGCAAACUCAGCUUCCAUUCCAAAGGUGCAUCACAAGGAGUUACUGUAACUGCUAAGGGUGUGUUAUCUUCUUCAACCACAAAGAAAAACCUAAGGAAAGAUUAACACAUUAUACUCUUCUUCACUAUAUACUUUGAGUUCCACCAACCAAAUACAUAUACAUGCUCAAACCUGAGCAUAGAAGAAAUUUAAUAGAAAUAGUUCAAACCUGGGCAUGAAAAAAAAAUUAAUAGAAAUGUUGUCCAUUUCUCUCUUGCUGCUUUUAUUUAAGGUUAAUUGAAUUUCUCAGGUACAUGGGUGGGCAAUAUUGGCCCUCCAGCUGUUGUUGAAGCCACAAUAUAGUGUGCACAUUGGGGCUGUGGGGAUGAAGGAAGUUAUAGUUCAACAACAGAUGGAAGGCCAAGAUGGUCUACCCUUGCCCUAGUAGGAAUCCUCUAGUUCUUUCUAAUGCUGCAUAAUUCAUCCAUAUGAGCAAUUCCACAUCUCACACAUUUAUCUUACAAUAAUAACUUUAUUUUCUUUAGAGUGUGAGGAUAAGGAUAUACAUUGUUUUAUGAGUGUCCAUGCUUUUUGAAUAUACAAGACUAAUACUGCCAUAUCUUAAAUAUGUAAAAGCAAAUCAUUUGUAAAAGCAAGCAAAACAGGAGCACAGCUUGUCUGAACACAAAUAUUGUUUCGAUUAGCAAAAUCUAGUGAUCUUCUCAUUACUAAUGUAUUUUGUAUGCAUAUAUAUUUUUUAAAAAAUCCGUCACAUUUAUAUACCACCCUAUACAAAAUCUCAGGGUGGUUCACAAGUUAAACAAACAGCAUGUAAACCCUAAAAAUCAUAUGUAACAGAUUAAAAUUACCAUAAAUAAAACUUGAAAAUAUCAUAAACUAAA